AAUAGGAGCUGACUUCCGGUAGUGGCAAGAAGUGGUUUCAGAGUGGAACGCCAGCACGGUGGAUGUGGCUAAUAUCUGACCAUGGUGAAGUCGUGUGCUGCCAUCUCCUGCACCAAUCCAUUUGUAAUAUUUCCUUUCAUAAGUUUCCCAAGCAGUCCAAGGACAGCACACUGAGAGAUCAAUGGAUACAGGCCAUCAGUAGAGAAGCGGUGGGGACCAAGAGGAGAUGAUCAUAAUUAUGUCUGCAGCAACCAUUUCAGGGAGGAGGACUUCAUCCUCUCAAAACAUGCUCAACACAAGCUUCUCAGGCCAGGGGCUGUACCAUCCCUCAAUUUGGGGAACCCAGAGAAAAAGGUUAUGUUCUUUAAUUGUUAAUGGUUGCUCAUUAUUUCAAUUUAGUACUUUUCUUUUCUUGUCAACUUUAUUAAAACAGUUCUAUUUAGAAAUCAGUGACAAAGGUGUGCACAUGCAGUGCUAUUAAAAAAAGUCACAAAGAGGACAAGUUUAACCUACAACUAUGAAAUUUGCCAUGCAUAUGUCAGUGUGAACAAAAAUGUCUUUUGGUGUCAUGUUCUAAACGCAACAGGAAGUCUGUCAUUUUGAAUUGAAUGUCUGAUUUUGGUCAUUUUCAGCAAUUAAUUCUUCACAGGUGGUAACUACACAACACCUGAAAUUCUGACAUAUAUACAACACGCAUUUAGGUUGAAUAUUUAUGAAAAUUGCAAAUUUAACUCAAAGGGUGUGGUCAGAGGGGCUGACUGAACUUUGAUGGUUCAUCAUGAAGCAUGAUGUGCAGUAUAAAAGCCGUCUACAUACUGCAAUCUGCCUGAAAGUUUAUGUGAUUGAUCACAGUCCUGCAGUGAUGACAUCCAUAUGUCAAUGUGCACUCACAUUGACAUAUGGCAUGUUAACGGUUACCCCGUUAAACUUCAGCGGCCCGUAUGUGCAAACGUAUUUUGCUAAAUUGACCGAAGCUGCAAACUCGAUGAUAGAAACAUUAUACACCCAUGGAAAGCUUAGAUUCUCAUGAAUCCGCUGGUAUAAACCACUUUCAGAUGUGAUUACCACAGCAGGUAAUAUAAACACAUUUGUCCAACAAACAGCAAAUAAUGUAAACAGCACAACUCACCUUUGAAGGCUCAAAACU